rnacentral:rRNA from 1 species
UGGGGAAUAUUGCACAAUGGGCGAAAGCCUGAUGCAGCAACGCCGCGUGAGUGAUGAAGGCCUUCGGGUUGUAAAGCUCUGUCUUUUGGGACGAUAAUGACGGUACCAAAGGAGGAAGCCACGGCUAACUACGUGCCAGCAGCCGCGGUAAUACGUAGGUGGCAAGCGUUGUCCGGAUUUACUGGGCGUAAAGGAUGCGUAGGCGGAUUUUUAAGUGAGAUGUGAAAACCCUAAGCUUAACUUGGGGACUGCAUUUCAUACUGGAAAUCUAGAGUGCGGGAGAGGAGAAUGGAAUUCCUAGUGUAGCGGUGAAAUGCGUAGAGAUUAGGAAGAACACCAGUGGCGAAGGCGAUUCUCUGGACCGUAACUGACGCUGAGGCAUGAAAGCGUGGGUAGCAAACAGGAUUAGAUACCCUGGUAGUCCACGCCGUAAACGAUGAGUACUAGGUGUAGGAGGUAUCGACCCCUUCUGUGCCGCAGUUAACACAAUAAGUACUCCGCCUGGGAAGUACGAUCGCAAGAUUAAAACUUAAAUGAAUUGACGGGGUCAUAGCUGUUUCC